rnacentral:rRNA from 1 species
UACGGAGGGAGCUAGCGUUGUUCGGAAUUACUGGGCGUAAAGCGCACGUAGGCGGCUUUGUAAGUUAGAGGUGAAAGCCCGGGGCUCAACUCCGGAACUGCCUUUAAGACUGCAUCGCUUGAAUCCAGGAGAGGUGAGUGGAAUUCCGAGUGUAGGGGUGAUAUUCGUAGAUAUUCGGAAGAACACCAGUGGCGAAGGCGGCUCA